AGAGCCGUCGAAGAAAAAAGGGCAUAUUAUUUCAACGAGAGAAUGAAGAGCCAUUCACACAUGGGCCAACGAUGACAUCAAGUGGAGAAAAAAAGGUAUCUCACUCCAUAAAAAUCCCCCAGUUCCAGUGGAGGCUCCUGUGCCAGUCGCCGGAGGCAACCUCACCAUGUCUGCUGCCAUUUCAGAGAAUGGUGUAGUCACCCACAUUCCCAGUCUUGGCCCAUACAAUACCCAGAAGCACCUGGUGUUCUUGGACCACCUGCACUCCGAUCUUAUCCCUCUACAUGAGAGGGGUUUGGUAGGGCCUCACUUGCUUACAUUUGUCAUUGUGUGGGACAAUGUAAGCUUCCACUGUGGCCCAUUCAAGAAUGCUUAUGGUGCUCUUAUCACCUUACUCCCCAUUCCUCAAUCCUAUGGAGGAGUUUUUUUCUGCAUGUAGGUGGAGGGUCUAUGAGCAUUGGGCUCAAAACCAGAGGUCCCUGCUCCAGGCAAUGGAUGCUGUUUGUGAUGAUGUCACAGCAGAUCAGUGUAGGGGAUGGUUGCGGCAUGCCCAAUGGUUCUUCCCCUGUUGCAUCGCAAGGGAGAACAUCAGAUGUGAUGUCGUUGAAGUCUGUGGCCAGACAGACAGGAGACUGAGGACGACAACUAGUGAAACUCCAGCUUUGCUUUACUUUCUUACUCCACCAUGCCACCGCGCUCUGCUCCAUCGCUCUACCCCGUCCUGUUCCAGCCGCAGCUGGUGCUCUACCUACCCCAGACCACACUCCAGCCAACCCACCAAUCAACCUCCAGUCAAAGAAACAAGAAAGGUACAGGCGUCUGCCCACUGCGGGGGAUUGGGGUGUAGGGCAUCGGGUCGAUUCCUGGCUGUGGCAAAUUGUCUUGUUUAAUUUGUCUGUAACCCUCCAGAGCGACAUGAAAAUCUUGCAGAUGUCGGGGGAGGGACGACUUCCAGUUGGCCGAAAACCUCGAAGAGCAAAACGAUUCUCCGUCGACCACGUAGACAUUGUUAAAACAAUUGAAGAAAAAGGGUAUCGCCUCUGGCCUACCCCCCGUUACACCUAUCAACGGUCUGGGUAUGUAAGUCGAAGACACAAAUAAUACACAGCAGCGUUGCUGGGAGAUGUCUGGCUUUUCUAGCUCUCCCAGUCUGUUGGUAAUAUACUCCCAGUACACCUUGACAAGUUGUUCUUGAUCCAUAGCAGGUGGGUAAUCUUCGUUACAUGGAGACUCCAUGUUUAAGAUGAUAUACCUGGGGGGGGUAUCCCGCCGAUAAUGUGAAUUUAUCUGACUCUGAGUCUGGUUCACGAAGAGACUGUAUGGAUCUAGGUCCUGUUCACCCUUUCGAAUGACAACAUAAUCCACGGAGAAGUGACCAUAAUCUCCUCUUGAUGUUGCCAUGAUUGAAUUGUGGGCUCCACAGGGUUGUGUCAAAUUAAAUGUGGCUUUUCACUUGAGGAACGAGCCUUAUGUAUGUGACAUUAGUUGGACGGUUGACAAGUCUCUGCGUGAGUUGGAGAAACUAACCGCCUUCGACGAUGGUGUCAAGUUAAAGAUGGUGAAAGAAUGUUGAAACGUUAUAUAUAAUUUAAUAAAUCCAGUCUUUAAUUUGCGGCA